UUCCACACUCCACCGGUUUGUCCAGCAGUAAAGGAGGCUGGUCCUAGGGCCCUCGCGAGGAGUGGUGAUGUGAGCACCAGCACCCCAUGCACGCCUCCUGCAGAACGUGGCAGAUUAGGAACCGCCGGCUUCAGGGCUGAGACCUGGCAGUAUAGAACUUAGAACAAAGGGUGUCAGCACCCAGUCUUCCUCCCCAGAGGAAGGAGCCGGAGUGUGUGCAGGUCCCUGAACAUUCCAGUAACUAGCUUCCUGCUGUUGUGCUUGGGAAAGCAGAGGAAGAUGCCCCGAGUCCUUGGGCCCCUGCCACCCGCACCAGAGACCCAAAUGGAGUUCCUGGCUCCUUGCUUUGACCUGGACCAGCCCUGGCUGUUGCGGGGAGUG